rnacentral:lncRNA from 1 species
AACUGAACUUUGUCCCUUGUAUUUGCGAUAAAUUUUCGUAACCAUGAAUCCAACAUUCCAACUAUCCCAAUUAGCAGUCUUGAUUAAAUUAAAAAAGCAAG